AAACCGACAGACAGCAGCUCGCC
rnacentral:siRNA from 1 species